rnacentral:lncRNA from 1 species
UAGAAGUUUAAUAACCACUCCAAAUUCCAACACUACAUCAGUCAUUCCAAUGCAGAAUACAAAGUUUGUGUUAUUCCAAACAGUUUUCCAAAAUAGUAUUCAAAUUAUGCUCAGUGAUUAAAAAGAUAUUGAAGAUGUAUUUACAUUUUGUAUGCUAUUGUGUGAAAUCAAAUUUCUUCAGGUUUAACAAGCAGUGAAAAUAUCAGGG